rnacentral:lncRNA from 1 species
AUGUUCAGAUCCAAGCAACAAAACCAACCAAACCGAGAAGCAUCCACCACGUCCGAGUCCGCGAGCCCUCGAGCCUUUGCACCUCAGCGAGGGAGCCUCCGUUUUCUACCAAGUCUUCCUUCGGGUCCGCUCCGCGCAGUGUGGGCUCAGUGGCCAGCGGCCGCAGGUCUGAGCAGGAAGAGCGGCCAGCGGGACUUGGCCUUGGUUGCCGACUGUGCCAGAGGAGGGGCGGCCGGGCUGGGCGGGCGGGGAGGGGGCAGCUUUCCAUCCCAGGGCUUCAGCUGUGCCCAGUCACCCCGUGUCUCCCACGCUGUGCCCCAGCUACCCCUCUGGCCCCGCGCCAGCACCCGAGUCCUGCAAACCUCGGGAGGCGUGUGCAGCCCCCGGAGACUGUCAGACCAGCAGCCCCGGGGUCCGCCCCCAACACCAAGGGCUGAGGUGUUUCCAGAACUAUGGGGCACCCAGGCCCCGUCCCUCCACGUGAGGGGGCUCCCGGUGCCAGGCCAGGGUCCCCUCCCUGCACCUAAGCGCGUGGGAGGACUUGCUCUGACCCGUCGUUCCUGGUUCCCCGUCCGGGGUGGGAGGGGCAGCAGACCAGGCAGCAGGGAGGAGCCCCUGGCCAGGCAGGGGAAGCAGCAAAAAAAAUAACAAAAGACUAGGCUCCGACAUGGCUCCACUGUCUCAUGAAACUUAAAAAGUAGGAAACUACACCUCACUUUCUAUUCAGCAUCAGCUCCUGAAGCUCCUGAGAUGAGGCUCCUUUUGUACUCCCGCUGUACAUAGCCCCGCCCGCCUCGGCUCCUCCUCUGUACAGGCCCCGCCCCUGCCGUCCGGCCC